rnacentral:rRNA from 1 species
AUGCAUGCAUAAGUUCAGCUUUAUCAAGCGAAACUGCGAAUGGCUCAUUAGAGCAGUUAAUAGCCUUUCCGUUGAUCCCUUGGGAUAACUGCGGAAAUUCUGGAGCUAAUACCAUUAACAAAGCUUGGAAGCAAUUCCAAGUGCAGUUAUUAGCGAAGACCAAUCCUCCUCGGAGGUUUUGUGUUGAAUCUGAGUAAAGUUCGUAUCUCGUCGGUUUAUCCGACGAAUAACGGAAGGCUUUUCUGCCCUAUCAACUAGAUGGCAGUUUAGAGGACUGCCAUGGUUGUAACGGGUACCGGAGAAUCGGGGUUCGACUCCGGAGAGGCAGCCUUAGAAACGGCUACCACAUCCAAGGAAGGCAGCAGGCGCGAAACUUAUCCACUGUUGAAAAUGAGAUAGUGACUAAGAAUAAAAAACCCUACCCUUAGGGGUGGGGUAUUUGAAUGAGUGAAGUUCAAAUAACUUCUCGAGAAACUAAGAGAGGGCAAGUCUGGUGCCAGCAGCCGCGGUAAUUCCAGCUCUCUUAGCGUAAAUCGUUACUGCUGAGGUUAAAAAGCUCGUAGUUGGUUUUAUGUGAGUCAGGCUGGUUCACCUUGUGUGUUACUAGUCAGCUCACAAAUAGUCGGAUGUCCUUCGGGGUGUCUGGCAAGUUUACCUUGAUUAAAUCAAGGUGCUCAGAACAGGCGAUUGCUUGUAUGCGUUAUCAUGGAAUAAUGGAAAAGGACUACGGUCCGUAUCAUUGGUCUUCGGAUUGUGGUAAUGAGUAAUAAAAGCAAACGGGGGCAUACGUAUUCCUGCGGGAGAGGUGAAAUUCUAUGAUCGCAGGAGGACGCCCGAAAGCGAAAGCAUUUGCCAAGAAUGUUUUCAUUAAUCAAGAACGAAAGUCAGAGGAUCGAAGGCGAUUAGAUACCGCCCUAGUUCUGACUGUAAACGAUACCAUCUAGCGAUCCGAUAGGGUGUUAUGCCUUGUCGGGGAGCUUCCCGGAAACGAAAGUCUUUCGGUUCCUGGGGUAGUAUGGUUGCAAAGCUGAAACUUAAAGAAAUUGACGGAAGGGCACCACCAGGAGUGGAGCUUGCGGCUUAAUUUGACUCAACACGGGAAAACUCACCCGGUCCAGACGUUGUUAUGAUUGACAGAUUGAAAGCUCUUUCUCGAUUUAACGGUUGGUGGUGCAUGGCCGUUCUUAGUUGGUGGAGUAAUUUGUCUGGUUUAUUCCGAUAACGAACGAGAUUCAUUCCUGCUAAAUAGAAUACUUGUAGCUUAGCAGGUCAUUCUUCUUAGAGGUAUAAGCGGUGUUUAGCCGCAUGAGAUUGAGCAAUAACAGGUCUGUGAUGCCCUUAGAUGUCUGGGGCUGCACGCGUGCGACAAUGGAAGAGACAACGUGCCUACCAGUACCGAAAGGUAUUGGGAAACCGUUGAAACUUUUUCGUGACUGGGAUAGGGAAUUGUAAUUAUUUCCCUUGAACGAGGAAUUCCUAGUAAGUGCGAGUCAUCAGCUCGCGCUGAUUACGUCCCUGCCCUUUGUACACACCGCCCGUCGCUAUCCGGGACUGAGCUGUUUCGAGAAGAGUGGGGAUCGACUGUUUGGGGCUUCACCGCUCCAUUCAGAUGUAGAACCAUUUUGAUCGCAAUGGCUUGAACCGGGUAAAAGUCGUAACAAGGUACGA